GCCAUCCUUUGGUCUCCUCACCUGAUUUUCUGGGGGUAGUGGUGGUGUCGGAGGAUGGUGAUUUAUGGUUCCCCAAACUACAGGACUCUCCUUUAAUCAUAACUUCUACUAUUCUCCUGAGUAGUCUUCCCUCAUGGCCAUUUAUCUGCUUUUAUAGACUGGAGGGAGACAACAGGAUCACAGCUGGAGGCUCCGGUAGGUUUGAAUGGUUCGUAAUAAGCCCCAAGGAAGUAUCUGGACCCCACGUUUUCUGGUGCCUUUAGACUGUAAGGGUGGCCACCAAAAAUAUACCAUCAUGCUAUGGAAUGAAGAGUGCGGUGACGCGGGGGAUGAUAGGAGUUGACAGAAAGAUCACCAGCAGUCUCAGGGAGUCUUGCUGAAAGUCGCUGAGUACUGUUGGAGCAUGGAGGGUCGCGGUGUGAGGAACAACAGCAGACUUAUAUUUGACCGCAAGACCAGCUACCCAGAAGCCUCUUCAAGUCUGAUGAUUUUGUUGCUGCCAACAGUUUCCUUCCAAGUGGAAAUAAUGCGUGGGGUAGUACUGUAACACGGACAUGAACAGCGUGUUUCAUCAUCUCGAUCUAUCUUCAACUAUACCUCCCAGACAUGGCCUGGUUUAUAACAUUGAUAUGCCUAAACCCAAGAGAUAUUUAGUAAGUCCAAGUGAGGUAUCCUGACCCUUAGCAAAUUUGAGUGACUAAUGUUGCCCCGUGAUGAAUGAAUAAGAAGAUUUUGAAGUAAAAACGUAAUUCCAAAUAAGUCAAAAUGCAGUGUCACUCAGUAAAUAUGCUACAUACAAUAAAUCCUUCUUGAACACAAAGAAAGAGAGAAUUUGAAUUAAUAUAAAUCAGGUGUUCUCU